rnacentral:rRNA from 1 species
GACAGAGGCCACGAACGUUGUUCGGAAUCACUGGGCAUAAAGCGCACGUAGGCGGCUGGGUCCGUCCGAUGUGAAAGCCCCCGGCUCAACCGGGGAAUUGCAUCGGAUACAGCCCGGCUUGAGGACGGUUGGGGUGAGCGGAACUCCUGGUGGAGCGGUGAAAUGCGUAGAUAUCAGGAGGAACACCGGUGGCGAAGGCGCUCAUCUGGCCCAAUACUGACGCUGAGGCGCGAAAGCUAGGGGAGCAAACGGG